ACGAACGCUGGCGGCGUGCUUAACACAUGCAAGUCGAACGGAAAGGCCCUGCGUUUGUGGGGUGCUCGAGUGGCGAACGGGUGAGUAACACGUGAGUAACCUGCCCUUGACUUUGGGAUAACUUCAGGAAACUGGGGCUAAUACCGGAUAGGAGCUCCUGCUGCAUGGUGGGGGUUGGAAAGUUUCGGCGGUUGGGGAUGGACUCGCGGCUUAUCAGCUUGUUGGUGGGGGAGUGGCUUACCAAGGCUUUGACGGGUAGCCGGCCUGAGAGGGUGACCGGCCACAUUGGGACUGAGAUACGGCCCAGACGCCUACGGGAGGCAGCAGUGGGGAAUAUUGCACAAUGGGCGGAAGCCUGAUGCAGCAACGCCGCGUGCGGGAUGACUGCCUUCGGGUUGUAAACCGCUUUCGCCUGUGACGAAGCGUGAGUGACGGUAAUGGGUAAAGAAGCACCGGCUAACUACGUG
rnacentral:rRNA from 1 species